CCACUGCCGUCUAGCUUGGGCAAGAAGAGUGAAACUCUGCCUCAAAAAAAAAAAAGAAGUCGUAUCCGUAAUCCAAAUGAAAAAUGAUAGUGGCUUGGAUCAGAGUGGUAACACUGAACAUGAUGAGAAGUGUUUGGAUUCUGGAUAUAUGUUGAAAGUAGAACAGUAUAUCCUGGCAGAUAGAAAGUGGGGAGUAAUAGAAAGAAGGGAUUAGAGGAAGAUUCCAAGGUUUUGGGCAUGAGCAACAUAGAAUCAUGAGGAGGAAGAAAAUCCUUCCUUAUGUACUUUGUGCUUCUAAUGAUUCCGUGUGUCAUCUCUGUUUCAGUUUUCAUUCUACUCGCCAAACUGGUGAAAACUCAACCAGUUCCAGUGGCAUUGUGAAUGCUCUUAGUAAAUUCAGAGUAGCCCUAUGAAAAUCACUUUACUAGCUGUCGCUUCUGAGGGCACCACCACCUGUAGUACUGAAUGAACAAUGUAACAUCAACAUGAGGAUACUUGGGACACCCAGAAGAAUUAGAAGACAUAGACUCUCUAUUCUUUAAGCUUUAUUGUGUAUUUCACCAUGUAGGAUAGGUAAGCACUGCCUGGGUUUGGACCUUAGGCACAGGGCCUGGGGGUGGCAGUUGGUGCUUUCAGUUGACUUUGGAUCUUUGUGUGAUGUAAUUGGAGUCCAUUUACAUGGAGAUGGCUUUGAAGAAGCAAGGCCAAGAAAUAUUAAGUCUCAAGAGUUCAACCAAUCAGAAGGAAAAGACCUGUCCUAGGAUAUUGUGUAUAUUUUUGCAGUUAACUUAGAAGGCAUUCUUAUACCUCUUUUUUCUAAAUAUUUAAGAAAAGCCUCGCUAUGGCCUUAAAGUACUAACAUUAGGUCUGGUGGGGAGGUGGGGGAAGGAUUAACACAUAUGAAGAGAAAUACAAGUAAGUGUAAACAAGCAUAAAAAUAUGUGUUAUAACAAAAGUUCAUAUCCACAACGAAUUAUCUUUAUUAUGCUUUUCCCUUCUUUAUUUAUGGACUUAAUUUGCUGUCAUCUUAGGCAACUACUGUUAACAGUAUCUCAUUUGAUAAUUUGAUGUUGACAUCUCUCUAUUUUCUAAAUUUAGUUGAAUGCAAAGAAAAACUUUGAAAUGCAAAUAAGAGAUCAUUUCUCCUGCCCUUAAGAAAGAUUGGAACAUGACAAACCUUGAAUCAGUCUUGGAAAGAAUCAUCUAAUUACAAGAAAGUGUAAGAAUUCCAGGCCUUACCUCAGGCAGAUAAGGACUAGCUAUACAUGAAAUGCAGACUGUGGCUAACUUUAAUUCUUUCCCAAAUCAGAUUUUCAUGAGACAUUUUCAGUUCUUUGAGUGAGGCAAAUGAAUUUCUUUAAUAUUUUACAUAUCCAUUGUUAAAAUUCAAUGCAAAAACAACUCUAAUGUCAAAUAUAAAUUAUUUUGUUGUUAAGUUUAAUUUUGAAUAAUCUUCUUCUCUUUUCUUUGGCAUUAGAACAAAUUGCAAUUACUGAAGUCCAAAGAAUUAUAAAGCACUAUUUAAGCAUUUCCAUUAGAUAUCAAAAUUGAAGGAGAAUGCAACGACUGGUUUAUUAAUGGAGUAAAGUUUCUGAGAUAAGAUGGAGCCAGUUUAAAAGGUUUUAACAAGGAAGUACAAUACUCAGUUUUGGAAGGAGAGGAGACAACACGAUUUGGUCAUGACUUAGACUCUUAUCAUAAAAAAUACUAUUUCAAUUGUCUUUAUAAUUCAACCUAAUAAUAUGCUUUACUCUUUAACAAAAAGUAUAUUUCCUAUAUCUCUAAGGGUACACUUCUCUGAGAUUAAGCAAGCCAUUUGUAAAAGAUGAUUGAAUUGAAGAGGGAUCAUGUUCUUUUAAACGAUCUUUCCCAUGCCCCUGGCAUCACAGAGGCUGAAUCGGUCCCGGGCACUCAGCAUUCUCAGCAUUGGAUCAACCCUAACCUGCUUGUAUUUCUUUUGCUGCAGAGCAUAGACCCAUAAGCCCAGAUCAAACAUGUUGAAGUCUCACUCCUCCAUCUACUCAGUUGACCUCUUAACAAAAUUCUGUUUCUCUCUCUCCAUUUGUCUAUGAAAAGAGUUUUCAUUCUAAACUCUUCCAGUUUAACAAAGGGAAAAGGUUAACAAGAAAGUAAAUCCCCCCACUCCAAAAAAAAAAAAAGUGGUCCACAGUUUCCCACUGAAUUGGAGCCAAAAACUCUGCCAGUUUUGCUCUCAUAUCUCCGAGCUGCAGCCUGACCCUUCAUGUGACCAGUGGGGCUUGUUGUACAAGAUCUAUCUGGGCGCCUUUCUAAAAGUGCUAUCUUCGUCCAUAUUUCAAAACACUCACAGAUAUUUUAUCAUUAAUUAGUAUUCAUAUUAUGUCUCAAACAAUCUGUUCAAGAAUAGGGGAAGUGAACUAGUUGAACAGCUCUUCUGUUUGUCUGUUAAUUAACAUGGAUGAUGUAUGUAGAGCCGAAGGCCUUAUAAGGGGAGGAGGUGGUCAAGUGUUGGGCAGGUAAUCCCUAGAACAUUUAAAUGCUUACCUAUUUUGGACGCUGGGCUACUCCAAAAAAAAAAUUGUACUUGGCAAACAGGGUGGGGAGACACAGGCCUUUUUAAAAAUAGACCCAUGCCUCUUUGAUUCACAGCAUCCUGGAUUUGCUUUUCAUCAUGUUAACAUGCCACUUGGGAGCUGGCUGGACUCCCUUGUUCAGUGACAUAUAUUUCAUAGUGUUUUUUUAAAAACCAUUUGUUCUUUCAACCACAACAUGCUUUGAAUUUCUCUUUCAAAUUUGAGGAUGUAUAUAUAGAUUGAUCAAAACAAUAUUUUUAACAUUCCAAACAAUUUAGAAAGAUAGUGGAUGGGUGUCAGUUAAUGUAUUAUGCUCCUCUCUUCCUCCUCCCCCUCUUCAGCUGCUAAUCUUAGAACUUGUGUGCCAAAUUGUGUAAGAUAUUCUUCCAAUAGCUACAUGUGUGACUCUUUUGUGAGCUCUACAGACAGUUAUGAGGACAGAUUUGGAGUUGCAUAUGGGACUGUCACAUGGUUUGAUUUCCUUGUCUUCAGGCACUGAGAUUUCUUUUCACUGAGCUUUAAUACUGAGGAAUUUUUAGUUGUGGUAAAAGUUUAGCAAAGUCUCUAUUAAAUAAUUUACACAUUCUGGGAAUAGGGAAGGAAAAAAGUUUUUAUUCACCACCACUCUGUAUUCGGGAUCUAUAUAUACUAAAUAGUUCAUGUGUUUACUCUUUCCAAUAGUGAAAAAAACUUAGGGUUUUAUCACAGAAUUUUUAUGAAAAUCAGAAAGGAGUAAAGAGCCUUUAUUAUCUCCUUGCUCUUUUGGAGCAAGAUCUAGUAAACGUCUCAACAGAAAAAGUAGCAGAUGCUUUGUAAAAAGGUCUCAUAUCACUUAUGUCCAAUUAUAGAGGCUGAUUUGCAAAAAAAAAAAAAAAAAAAAAAAAAAAAUCAUCUAUCUAUGUCCUUAGGAGCCAAAAAUUCCAUGGCAUUAGUCUGUGAAAUAAGAUGCAAAUUCAUUUUCAACUUUAAAGACACAUAUCUGAAAUCUUGCUUUCAUGACCUGAAACCCACAGCCCCCAUCCCAUAAACACAGUGCCACCCUUGAGGAACACACAGACUUGAAGCAAGAUCUUUCUCCUAGUCCUAUUUUAAAUGUUCCUCAAGGAUAAAUAAUAUCCCAGUGAGACCUGUGUCCAAUUAAUUGGGGCAUAUAUUAUAAUAUUAUAAAAGUGUUAAUCACAUAAACUCAGAACUAAUUCUUUUAAGGCCCAGCAUAUGACUGCAUCUUAAAAUAGUGCAUGACUGUUUAUACACUAUUUAAAAUAGUGUAUGACAUAUGAUGUAGUGUAUGACUGUUCAUCCUUGUAUUAAUUUUGCCCUCUAAAACAAAUCAGCGGUUAAUUAUUCCGAGCUGUACCUUUAUUGGUCCAUGAGUAAACUCAGUCAACUUUGUUGCGCUGGGGGAAAAGUCUUAAUUUAGAAAUAAUAAUGAUGGCUAAUAACAAUAUAAUAAUAAAUUGCUAUAUUUCUUGAUUCCCUGUUCUGGCUCUAAACUCUAUAUAAUAGAUAUUUUAGAUACAUCUAAUCCCCAGAAUAACCUACCAAAAUAGGUAUUAUCACAAUUUGUCAAGUUAAGUAAGAACUCGAGAAGUAGCUUGAAUGAAGAGGGUAGUGUUCUCUUAUUUCAGUCCUUAAUGUACCUUUCCUGUUUUAGGUUGGAGAAGUCCUGUAUCUUACUGGGCAAAUUGCCCUGGUACCUUCCACAAUGAAAUUUGUUCGUGGUGGAAUACAAACAAAAGCUCCUCUGUCCUUAAGCCAUACCCUGAAAAUCCUGGAAGCUACACAUGGAGAUACCAGACUUCAGCACACUUUCAUGGCUCACUGUUAUGAAAUGUUAUGUUAAUGAACAGCCAGCUCACUUCCACUGCUCUGGAUACCUGGCAGAACUUAAAGACCCAUUAAAAGGAAAACCACACAAAUGUGAUGCAAUGGCACAGGUCGUAUCCUGACGGUGGUGGUAAUUCCUAGUCUUCCCAGAGAGGCUGCAACCAAGUGGCAUGUCACUGCAGCGGCAGAUGAACCAUUUAAAAGGAAGCAUUUUGCUUCGAAGAAGAAAGCUAAGGGUUUUCAAAUGGAAUGUAAAGCUGUGGCAUCCAGUUCUGCUUCCAGUGCAUCAGUCCUCAUCUCUUUACAAUGAAUGUCACCUUCUACCUCCUUACCUGAUGUACAUAGCACUCUAGAGGACCUGAUAACUGUACUUGUACAAGAAAGGGGAAGAACGUAAAAUUCACCAAGCUCCACCAUUGUGUUUUAGAAUAUUCUAUUUAAAGAUACAACAUUGUAAUGCUGAACUUCUGCAAGCAGGGAAGAGAGCAAGGCACAGAUGCUUCUGGUUAUGAUUCCAAGAUCAGUCACCUGCCUCCUUCAUGGAUAGUAAGGUGUUUUCUGAUCCAGUGAGAAGUUCUUGAAAAAUGAGAAGAAAGAGAGGUUUAAUUGUAACAUGGAUACAUUUUGGACUGGAUGCCAGCCACUUGAAUAAGGCUUGGCACUUGGCACAGUACCUGGCAGAUAGUACUUAAUGAAUGUCGGAUGGAUGGCAAAAAGAGACAACAGGGGAAACAGAAAGAAUGAAGGAAAGAAGGAAAUAGUUGGAAAAACAGUUUAGUUGAUCUGAUCUGCAUGCAAGUAUUUGGUCUCAGUAAUAUUUUCUAGAAGCUGUUCUAAGAGGAUCUAGGGGUGGAUGUUUAGCAUAAAACAUGUUUCAACAGUUUUAAUGGAUAUGGAUUUCUGAGCUAACUUACAUUAUUAUGACCUGUUAGUAGUAGCAGCACUUAGUUUCCUUGUUGAGUAAAGGAUGGGAACAAUUAUGUUGUGAUGACAGAUUUCCAUCAGGUUUUUUUUUUCUGCCACAUAUGUAGACGUGACUUAGUUUUAAUGUACCUGAAUACUCUCGUAGUAAAGUGUAUUGUGAUUUCAUCAAGGAGGGCAGUAAUUAUUAAGCAGAGGAAUCUUUAGUCUUUGUCUCUUUGAAUAUCUAACUGAUCUUAAAAAUAAAGUGGUUUGUCUAUUUGCAGUUGAUUUUCUACAUGUGUUUAUUUCCAGUAAUUCCAGCCUUCUUACCCUGGAAUAGUUUAACCCAUCUCUUAAUUGUCCCUAGCUGACGUCUAGAAGGUCUUUUUAAACUUCUUAACUGCACGGCAAGCCCUCAGUGGACACCUUGAUUUUGUCUGUUUGGGAAAAUGCCAAGCACUAAUGAGUAUUUUGUUUAAUGUAAUGGAAACUGAAAGUGCAUGGCUUCUUCCCUGACUGAUCAAUGCCCACUUCUGUUGUUUGAACAUAUCUGUACAUUCUAAAUUCAAAACGAAGGGUCACAAGAGGGCAGAGCACUUAGUGUCUGCCCAAGGAAGGACUUGAAGAUUCACAAGUUUUGUUUAUUUGGGCCCGGUAUAGACAGACAGUACUGGAGUUAGUACUCUAGGCCUCCUCCUCUGUGCUCAGAUAUGCAAUUUUUAUUAAACCCAAAGUCCGUAAUCUUAAACUUUUUUGUGUUAAUUUAACAAAAUAAUAAGGGAAUGAAUUAUGUUGUUGAAUUCUAAGCCAGGCAAUAUCUACUUGUAAGAAGUUACCCAUUUUUUAUUUCAUCAUUAUUUUUCAUAAAAUAUUUGGUAUAUAUUUACCUUAUUGUUUGCUUUUUCUGAAGUUCAAAUCACAAUGUGUCCAACACAGAAUUUUAAGUAAAUAAUUAAAGCAUUAUUUCUUAGUUAAAUAAACAGUAAUAUUUGCUGAAAAAUGAAAUCUUAAGCAAUUGAGUAGGCAAACAUGAUCAAGUAUGUUCGAGUGAAGAGUAACGAUUUCCAUGUGGUACUAACAUUCUGCACAGAGACUAAGUGGAAAGUGUAGAAGAUGUUUCAUUGAACCAUAUCUAGCUGAAUUGAUACAGAGCUCCUUUCGCUAGUGUUUGUAAUUUAUAGACUUCUUGUAUGUGCUAGAUAAUUUUCACGAGAAAAGAUUUCCAGCCAUUUAAAAUUUUAAAUGAGAUUUACCUUUCAUCCAAAGUGUCCUGGGUUUAGUGAUUUCAUUAAAGAUCAAUGGAGAUGAUAAGAAAAGUUUUGAAUCUAAAAAAUGGAAAUAAUUUCAUUCCUCAAAUUCAAAUUUAAUGACUCGCUUUCUCUUUAUUUCCAAGCCACCAUCUUGCUCGAUCAUACUAUCACCUUCCUUUGGAGACUGGAAAUAUACAAGCCUCCCCAAAUUACAGUUUAUAAUGGAAAGCUCCCCUGACCCUUAAUAAUUGUUACUUUACUGAAACACUGUAAUAUCUAAACUAAGUUGCUUAUUACACCAAACAUGAAGUCCUUUGACCCUUAGGGUUCAAUAUUGAUCAGCCUCACUUUUGUCAAUAUCACCUCUAAUGUCAACAUUUCAAUGUGAAAUAAAUUCAGUAAAGGAUAGUCUUCUUAAUCCACACACAUUAAAGAUGUUUAAUUCCUAUUCAUUACAAGUUUCACCCAGUUUAAGAAUUGUUUCUUCCAUACUCUCAGUUAAUAAUUGGAGACUGGGCAGCAUUGUAAGUAUGUGGUUAAAUGUCAUUACAAUAAGAAGUUAGCUGUAAGAUAACCUAUACCGAGGACUGGAUUCAUGGAAAAUAAUCUCUGAUAAAAUUACUCCAAAGGAAACUUGAAGCAAAUGUAUUACAAAUUCAUCAAACGUGACUGAGAUAUUUUUUAAUCCUGAGAUCAUGGAGGGAAAUGCUUUUAAAAAGAAUAUUCAGGUGCUUGCUUUGCCCUUGGAUAAUGCAAUAGAAGCUUGUGGUAUUUUUCAGAUUGUCAAAUGUGUAUCAAAGAGUUAUUCUCUUGGCAAAUUCCAUGAAUUUCAGUUCCAUUUCUUGACAAUUUAAAAUUUGAUUAUCCAAUUAUAACUAAAGGUCAUCAGUCUAAUGUGGCAACUUCAUGACAGUUUUAGUUACAAAAGAAUUUCUCAGUUUAGAGAGGAAACUGCCAUGUGAGAAUUUUUUAUUGAACUUUUAAGUUGGAUGGUAUUGUGAAAAGAAUUUUGUUUUCUUCUUGUGCUUUUACUAUUUAUUAAUAAAAAUAUAUACUUUUUGCCCUGCCCCAUGUUUAUAUCACAUGCCUCACCUCUCUGAAUAACAUUACCAAAUUAACAGCAAGUGCUCUCUGAUAUUGCUGAUAUUUAUCAUCAUUAGAUUUUGUCUUAAAUGUUUAUUUAGAGUUCCAUUUCUCUGUUUUAUUUUUAAUAACCAUAACCUGAAUAUCAUUUUCAGAACUAGAGAGAGUCAUUUUCAUUUCAAUCAUACUAUAAGUAGAAUUUCUGCCAAAAUGAAAAACCAGAAAAAUUGAGGACAUGGCAAAUAUUUUAACAUUAGUUUUAUUUGAUGUGAUGAUGGAAAAUUCCUCAGGCAAAACAUACCACAGGACCAGACAAAAUGGGUGCUGAGUGUCAGAAAGAUAGGAGAAUCUUUAUCCACAUCUCACCCCUAAAGAAAUCAACUUUGCAGUGGUAGAUGAGUUUGUUGAACAGCUGUUGAUUGUGUACCUGCUCUGUUCAAGAUCAACAGUGAAAACUCAUUGUUUUUCUGUUUUUGCAUCUUAAGAGUUCCAGACAUUGCUGGAAGCCCAGAUGGACAAGAUGGUGCCUGCACUGCUUCUCAUAUCUGUGACCCAUUUACCUAGAGAAGAAAUUAUCCGUGCAGCAUGCUGGUUAACACUUCGAUCAACAAACAAGAACUCUACCACCCUGCUUGAGGAGUGAGAUCUUCACUCUAACUGUUCUCAGCACAGCCUCCUGGUGCAAAGCUGGACUAAGUAUUUUAAUAUUACACUUUGCACCUCUUUUGUUCAACAGUAAGACCCAAAAUAAACCUUUCUGCCUAGGUAUGAA